rnacentral:rRNA from 1 species
GUAGUCCACGCCCUAAACGAUGGAUACUCGCUGUGACUGGUAUUGACCCCGGUCGUAGCCUAGCUAACGCGUUAAGUAUCCCGCCUGGGGAGUACGGUCGCAAGAUUAAAACUCAAAGGAAUUGACGGGGACCCGCACAAGCGGUGGAUUAUGUGGUUUAAUUCGAAGCAACGCGAAAAACCUUACCUAGCCUUGACUUCCAGAUGAAUUUUUGUGGAAACAUGAAAAGUCCCGCAAGGGACGUCUGAGACAGGUGCUGCAUGGCUGUCGUCAGCUCGUGUCGUGAGAUGUUCGGUUAAGUCCGGCAACGAGCGCAACCCUUGUCUUUAGUUGCCAUCAUUAAGUUGGGCACUCUAGAGAGACUGCCGAUGUCAAAUCGGA